CCGGGGGGCUGCAGUGGGGAAUAUUGGACAAUGGGGGGAACCCUGAUCCAGCCAUGCCGCGUGUGUGAAGAAGGCCCUCGGGUUGUAAAGCACUUUCAGUGAGGAAGAACGCCUGGUGGUUAAUACCCAUCAGGAAAGACAUCACUCACAGAAGAAGCACCGGCUAACUCCGUGCCAGCAGCCGCGGUAAUACGGAGGGUGCGAGCGUUAAUCGGAAUUACUGGGCGUAAAGCGCGCGUAGGUGGCUUGAUAAGCCGGUUGUGAAAGCCCCGGGCUCAACCUGGGAACGGCAUCCGGAACUGUCAAGCUAGAGUGCAGGAGAGGAAGGUAGAAUUCCCGGUGUAGCGGUGAAAUGCGUAGAGAUCGGGAGGAAUACCAGUGGCGAAGGCGGCCUUCUGGACUGACACUGACACUGAGGUGCGAAAGCGUGGGUAGCAAACAGGAUUAGAUACCCUAGUAGUC
rnacentral:rRNA from 1 species